AACGCACAUUGCGCCCCUCGGUAUUCCGUGGGGCAUGCCUGUUCGAGCGUCAUUUACACCCUCAAGCUCAGCUUGGUGAUGGGCGUCUGUCCGCGUGGACUCGCCCCAAAGUCAUUGGCAGCGGUCGUGCCAGCUUCUCGCGCAGAGCAUUGCGCUUCUUGAAGCUGGUUGAUCGGCGUCCACCAAGCUCUACAUUAACUUGACCUCGGAUCAGGUAGGGAUACCCGCUGAACUUAA
rnacentral:misc_RNA from 1 species